ACGGAAGGCAGCAGUGGGGAAUAUUGGACAAUGGGGGGAACCCUGAUCCAGCCAUGCCGCGUGAAGGAAGGCGGCCCUAUGGGUUGUAAACUUCUUUUGCCGCAGAGUAAUAAGCGGGAUGCGUCCCGUGAUGAGAGUAUGCGGCGAAUAAGCAUCGGCUAACUCCGUGCCAGCAGCCGCGGUAAUACGGAGGAUGCAAGCGUUAUCCGGAUUUAUUGGGUUUAAAGGGUGCGUAGGCGGAGCAUUAAGUCAGCGGUGAAAUAUCCCGGCUCAACCGGGAGGCUGCCGUUGAUACUGAUGGUCUCGAGUCCGAACGGCGCCGGCGGAAUAUGUAAUGUAGCGGUGAAAUGCAUAGAUAUUACAUAGAACACCGAUCGCGAAGGCAGCUGGCGAGGACGGCACUGACGCUGAGGCACGAAGGUGCGGGGAUCAAACAGGAUUAGAUACCCUGGUA
rnacentral:rRNA from 1 species